UCGGGAAUUUUGGGCAAUGGGCGAAAGCCUGACCCAGCAACGCCGCGUGAGGGAUGAAGUAUUUCGGUAUGUAAACCUCGAAAGAAUGGGAAGAAUAAAUGACGGUACCAUUUAUAAGCUCCGGCUAACUACGUGCCAGCAGCCGCGGUAAUACGUAGGGAGCAAGCGUUGUUCGGAUUUACUGGGCGUAAAGGGCGCGUAGGCGGCGCGGUAAGUCACUUGUGAAAUCUCUGAGCUUAACUCAGAACGGCCAAGUGAUACUGCUGGGCUAGAGUGCGGAAGAGGCAACCGGAAUUCUUGGUGUAGCGGUGAAAUGCGUAGAUAUCAAGAGGAACACCUGAGGCGAAGGCGGGUUGCUGGGCCGACACUGACGCUGAUGCGCGAAAGCCAGG
rnacentral:rRNA from 1 species